AACUAUCUGGUGCAGCUUGGUUUUCUCUGCACUGAUUUCCAUGCCGUAUUUUGCGGAGGUUUCAUCCAAUCAUUUCACAAGGUUGGCAAGUUCAUCUUCGCUACCUACCAGGCCAUCAAUGUCAUCAGCAAACUGAAGAUUUGAGA